rnacentral:sRNA from 1 species
UUCUUUGUAAUAGUCCCAUGACAUAAUAAUGCCUUUUUUAUAUAAUAGAUCAUAUAAUUUUGAAUAGUUACACUUUGUGAAAUCAAGGUGACUUAGUUAAACUUCUCUAGCUAAAUAUUUCGAUUUUGAUUUUGCAGUUUUUUAAUCAAAGUGCAAUUAUAUCAUUCAACUAUAUCUUUGGAUGAUGCGAGACAUGCUCUUAAGGAUCUUGGGAUCGAAUCUGAAAAUGUUUUUGGAGUGGUAAUUGUUUCUUUCUCUUUGUUUUUGUGAGAAUUUUUUUGUUUUUGGUUUGUGAAUAAACUUGUGAUUUGUAGCUUUAUUAAGCUACUUCAAUAGGUGUUGGUACAGAUAAAAUUGAUGGCACUCCGUACUUCGAGAUGCAAGAUAGUAACCGUGGCUAUCUCCUAUUUAUUUAGCUAACAAAAAUAAUCUGAUAUUAAUCAAAGAAAAUGUCCUUAGACCAUUCAAUUUAUUUAUUUUUUAAUCUAAAGAGAGAAAAAAGGAUAAAAACUGAUAUGAAGUUUAAAUGACUUUUCAUAUGCUAUCAUAAAGAUUUGUUUUUUCUUAUAAAAAUGAAAGUUAAUAAAUGAAACAUUAAGUAAAAUUCUAC